rnacentral:misc_RNA from 1 species
ACUCUAUUUGAGACCAAUUUCACAAUGUAUAGGGUUGAUAUGUGAGAUAAAUCGAGACUCAGUGAGAGGGUUAAUGGGAGAGAAAGUGUGUGAGGAGAGAGAGAGAGAAAGUGUUUGAGAGAGAGUGAGAGAAAGAGAGAGAAAAAGCGAGGUAGAUAUAGAUAGAAUAUGGGUGGGAGAGAUGGUUAUUUAGGGGCAUUUAAUUCAUUAAUUUUUUUUAGGGGCAUUUAAGUCAUUUUACCAUGUUGUAACCGAUAAACUGACUAUAAUUGGGGUUUUUUUUAAUUCAAUUGAAGUUGAGGGGUUUUAUGUUACAAUUUCAAUUUUAG